GAAGCAACUGACUUCGGUUGGUUGACUUAGUGGCGGACGGGUGAGUAACACGUGGGAACCUGCCCAAUAGUGAGGGAUAACCAUUGGAAACGAUGGAUAAUACCUCAUACGCCCUACGGGGGAAAGAUUUAUCGCUAUUGGAUGGGCCCGCGUCGGAUUAGGUAGUUGGUAGGGUAAUGGCCUACCAAGCCUAUGAUCCGUAGCUGGUCUGAGAGGAUGAUC
rnacentral:rRNA from 1 species